rnacentral:lncRNA from 9 species
AAAAAAAAAGAAAGAAAAAAGAAUAAAUGUAUCGACUUUCCUUCCAAGUUUAGCACAGGGUUUUACCCAUAGUAAAUGCUUCAGCUAUUAAAGAUUUAUUCCGUUGUCUCCAUGCCGUAUAUCAAAAUCACCUAGGAGUUCCCGUCGUGGCGCAGUGGUUAACGAAUCCGACUAGGAACCAUGAGGUUGCGGGUUCGGUCCCUGCCCUUGCUCAGUGGGUUAACGAUCCGGCGUUGCCGUGAGCUGUGGUGUAGGUCGCAGAUUCGGGUCGGAUCCCUAGUUGCUGUGUCUCUGGCGUAGGCCGGUGGCUACACCUCUGAUUGGACCCCUAGCCUAGGAGCCUCCGAAAAGGCAAAAAGACAAAAAAAAAAAAAAAAAAAAAAAAAAAAACCCCAAAACAAAAAACGAAAAACAGAGCAAUGGUUGCUGCAAUCUUUCAUGUGCAGGUUGUUUCUGCUGUUGUUACUGCUUUAUUGUGUGUGUGUGGGUUUGUGUGUUGUGUGGUUGGAGAGAGGGUAAUAAAAAUUCCUCCUUUUUUUAAAACUAAGGGGGCCACCCAGUGUGCAUAGACUUUUACAUGCUCCAUAGGAUAGUGUGGCCAAGCUAACUAUUAUGUAAAUACCAGUUUCUUUCACGUUCUGAUGGCAUACAGAGAUUUAUCUUCCCAGAACAGCUUUCGGGUUUGAGACUGGACUGUUCAUGACUGUAAACCAUGAACUUGCAUACUGACUUAAUUUAUUUCACAGGUUUUGAUUCAGUUAUAAAUGCACAAAACCAGCACUUGAUUUUCUGAGAAUCAUGAUUUAUUUUUUUCAAAACACGUCUAAUAUGAAAAGUUUAAUUUCCAACAAGACCCCACACUCCAUUCCCACUAAUGCAAAUGCUAAAUAAAUUAUACCACACAAUGCUGAGCACUCUUGUGUCUGAAGACUAGCUUUGCUGCCGAGGUAGUGUUUAAACUACAGGCUCAGGGGCAAAUCAUUUAACCAGAACGCAGUUGCUAAUCUUUUCUAAGUUUCACUUUGCUUGUGUAAAAAUUAAAAUGUAUCUUUCCUCUUUACCACCAGAGGAUUGAUAGCGAGGUCAAAUGAGAUCAUUUCAAGUUAUUCCUAGUAUUUAGGGAAGGGUGCAGAAAUCCAGAGUCCUGAAAACAAAAGUUUUCUCUUCAUUUCUCUACUUUAAAUACCAAUUCCUUUGUAACAAAUACCUCUCCUCCAUGCUUCUACAGCGUUUUUCUCAGGUGCAGACAAGAUUAUCUGGUAAUAUGUUUGUCUUUUCCUCUAGAGUCUAUACUGUGAGCUCCCGAGGGUGGAGAUUUUGUGUCUUAAGUCCCUGGCAUCUUGGAGAGUGCCUGAUAUGUGAUUGGGCUCAGUUAGUGAUUGUAAAUUGAAUUGAGUGGGGAAUGCUUUGAGAAGGGAUUUACAAAUAUUACUUUGUAAUGUCUUCUGUGUAGGGCUCUGCAUUGUGCAAAGUUCUUUCACAUGUAUUAUUCAUUCUCUCAUAUUUGAUCUUCCCAGCAAUCCUAUGAAGGCACGUGUUAAUAUCUUUAUUUUGCAGAGAAGAUUUAAAGUUUGUGGAUAAGAGAUGAAAAAAUUAAGUACCCCUUGCAGUUCAUGUAAACUCAUGAAAAGGAUUCACUUGGUUAGUGAGUGUAGGAUAGUGUCAUUUUGAGAAACUGAGUCGCAUUAUCUCUUUAGUACAAUGGAAAGUUGGAUAAUCAUCCAAUCUCUACUCAUCUUUAAAGACCUUAUGGAACUAAUCAGAGAUAUGAAUGAAAUAAUUCAGUGCUGUUCUUCUAGAAAUAAUGAAAACCCUAUUCUGUUAUUAUAACACAAUGUUUUAAUGUUUAGUUCUUGUUUGUAACUUACUCUCUUUACGCUGUUGGUUUCCCCUUAAUUUUGUAUCUCUUUUAUCCAUAAUCUCUUUACCUUUAAAUGAUCUUUUAUCUUUCCUGGAAACAGCUGACAAUACUGUUUUUGAGUUCAGUACGUUUUCAUAAUUACAUUUUUAGCCUUGAGGGAAAAAUUGUAUACCUCAUCAAAUCCUCUGGCUCUGCAACUGAGUAAUUUUAACAGCUCGGAAUACCACUUGCUGCUGCUAUAACUUAAUUGUGAAUUAGGAAGAAUGAAACUGCUUUAUGAUUUCUGCCAAUGUUAAAUUCUGUUUAAAUCGAAGCAUUUUACAUCAUGUUUUAAUGUUGCCAGUAAGUGGCGGACUAUCUCAGGUGUUGAUUUCCAUUGAGAGACCUUGACCCAGUGGACUAAUGUCCAUCAGUACGGAUUUAAUCACCUUACAUCUCUUGGUACAAAGCUGUUCCUCAAAGUGACAACACAUUGCUGGGUUUUUUGUUUUUGUUUUACAACAAUAUUUUGUUUGUAAAUUCAAGAUUUCUCAGCGAUGUAUUUUAGUUGGGCUAUUUUUUUUUUUUUUUUUUUAAUGUGGAAUCCAACCUUCAUCUUCAGCCUACACCACAGCCUGAGGCUGGGGGUCAAAUCUACAUCCUCAGGGAUACUAGUUGGGUUUGUAACCCGCUGAUCCACAAUGGGAACUCCAUUAUCAUUAAUUUCUAAUUUAAUUCAUUUGUGGUUAGAGAAUCAUGAGUACUGUCAUGAUUUCAGUUCUUUUAAAUGUCUCAAGCUUUAUUUCAUGAACCAACAUACAAUCUGUCUUUGUGAAUAUUUCAUGUGCCUUUGGAAGUAACGUGUAGGAGUUCCCGUCGUGGCGCAGCGGAAACGAAUCCGACUAGGAGCCAUGAGGUUUUGGGUUUGAUCCUUGGCCUUGCUCAGUGGGUUAAGGAUCCAGUGUUGCCGUGAGCUGUGGUGUGGGUUGCAGACGUGGCUCGGAUCUGGUCUUACUGUGGCUGUGGCGUAGGCUGGCAGCAACAGCUCCGAUUAGACCCCUAGGCUGAAACCUCCAUAUGCCCCGUGGGUGCGGCCCUAAAAAGACAAAAAGACAAAAAAAAAAAAAAAAAAAAAAAA